UUAUUAGAUGUUUUGGGUGGCUUUUGGCUGUUCUAUGUGGUUAUUAGAUGUUUUGGGUGGUUGUUAGCUGUUCUAUGUGGUUAUUAGUUGUUUUUGGUGGUUGUUGGUUGUUCUGUGUAGUUAUUAAUUUGGUGGUUAUUAGGUUGUUGAAGGUGGAUGUUUGGUUGUUUUAGGUUGUUGGCUGUUCUAGGUGGUUAUUAGGUUGUUGAAGGUGGAUGUUUGGUUGUUUUAGGUUGUUGGCUGUUUUUUGGGUAGUUAUUAUGUUGUUGUAGGUGUUGUUAGGUUGUUGGCUGUUCAGGGUGGUUAUUAGGUUUUUUUGGGUGGUUGUUAGCUGUUCUGGUUGGUUAUUAGGCUGUUGUAACUGGUUGUUUGGUUGUUUUAGGUUAUUGUAGGUGGUUGUUAGGUUGUUUUGGGUCGUUGUUGGCUUUUCUGGGUGGUUAUUAUGUUAUUGUAGGUGGUUGUUAGGUUGUUUUGGGUCGUUGUUGGCUGUUCUGGGUGGUUAUUAGGUUGUUUUGGGUGGUUGUUGGCUGUUCUGGGUGGUUAUUAGGUUAUUGUAGGUGGUUGUUAGGUUGUUUUGGGUGGUUGUUGGCUGUUCUGGGUGGUUAUUAG
ensembl:lncRNA